CGGAAGCUGGGCAAUUUGUUAGGAAUUUUAAUUCUUGGGGCCAUAAGUAUUCUUCGGGAGCCGUCACUUUUUUGAUUUUGGUCAAAAUAUAUGGCGCCCACCUGUUCAACAGGCAACAAAGAAUAAUAUAUCCGACGAUUUUUUGGCUUCCGU
rnacentral:other from 1 species